rnacentral:tRNA from 1 species
ACUCAAAUAGCUUAUAUAUAGAGUACAACUUUGAAGAUGUUGGGGAAGUUAUUUACUUUUGGGUA